ACAAAUAAAUUGGACGAGUGAAUAAAAAAUUAGUACUUAUAUAUACACAGAACUCAUAAUUACCAAGUUCUCUUAUAAUCUAAUAUUAACGUAUUUGAACUAAUUAGGAAUGCAUGCUCUAUAUCAAUUAACACACAAUACUGUUAUCUCCUGCUUCAACUCAGAAAAUGUAUUAUGACUAUUAUGAGUGAGACUCGACUUCGAGCACCAUUUAACUUCACCUAUUGCUUUGUUGGUUGGCAAAAACAAUCAGAGUGGGUGUUUUUUCUUUGAAAUGACAAUAAUACCUACUCGUCUAUCACAGAUUAACAGUAUACAGGGUUUAUAUAAUAAUUCUUAGGAAUAGAUACUUAUCUCUCAAAGUUAAUGCCAACACCUACAGUUUUGAUACCUACACAAAAAUACAAUGGAAUGCGCUCGCUCCCCACACCGCGCGCAACGGCAUAACGCUAGGGUUGCCUACGCUUAGAACUUAUAAAUAGGUAAGUACCUACUUAAACAGCGGAGUGAAAUAAAAUAAAAUGGAUAUCUUUAUAUCGGACUUGGCCGGCAGUUUCCUAUUUCCCAGCCUUUGUGGUGUACCUGUAGCCUACUAAUAAAGCGAAAAGGCUGGUUUUAUUUAAUGCAGGUUUUAGGUUAUUUGAAUAUCUGCUUUGCGACGGUAGGUACACCGACUAUAAGUAGAUUCUAUAGAAGAUGUCUACCUACUUGAAGUACAAAUAUAAGAUUUAAUUCAUGUCAAAAUCGGCUACUGCGUAAAUUAGGUACCAUUAGAACUUGCUGUUAGGUAUACACACAUAACAGCAUAGCGUAAAAUAACAAUAAGCAAGUUAAGUUGCAAUCAUUAUAAUAUUUCGUUUGCGUUUUAUUCUAACGAAACAUUUUAAAAGGUCACAUGUAUCUGCAUUAACCGCGGUUUGAACCGCGCAAUGAACUCAGCAAGAAUUCGUUGUAAAACUUCGUGUAGAUUAAAACCAGAUAGAGAUUCACGGUAUGUCUCUCUUUAAAAUGAGUUUUGUUUGCUUCCAUAUUUUUAUCACCGCACCGGGUAAAGCGCUAUUCCGUCCUGCUUGCCUAACCCCGCCUGAAAUUUGCGUUUUCUUUGAUUAUAUAUGGGAAUGUAGGCUUAUUUUGCAUGAAAUUUUACGGUAGUAGUGCCUUUUUGAUAGGCGUACGAUAACUUUUUCAUCGGUACGAUAAUUUUGACACUCAAAUUCGAUAAUUCUCUUCCGCUCACCUGGCAACACUGAUCUUUACUUUAGUCGCCAGCUGACACUGCUAGGAGUUACGCUUCACCAUUGUGCCAUUUGUGCCGUCGAUAAUAAACAAACACAAAAUAAAUCUUAUGCGAACGGGAGUUUUAAUAGAUUGAGUAUGACUAAACUUAAACCUGGGAAUAAAGAAGAAUAUUUAGCCAAAAAGAGAGAGAAGGCGAAAAUAUGGUAUCAAAAUAUUAAAAACGACCCAGAUUUACAUGAGAAAUAUCAAAGAAAAAAUAGACUAAAAUAUGAAAAAAGGCUAGUGCAUAACAAAAGUAGUAUAAGUGAGAUGACAUCUAGCCAGCAAAGAAAGCAGAGGAAGAAAUAGAGGGAAGAAAGAAAGCGAAGAAAUCAACGAAUGAAAGAGAGUAAAAAAAGAGAGAGAUAAUCUAUGGUUAUAAAGAGAAAGUGACAUUUACCCCAUUCAUGUAAUAAAACUAUACUACUACCUAACCCUAAUUUACUGAAUACCAAAGAUUUCACCAUAAAGACAGAAAGUCAGGAUCUAAGUGACCAAGACAUUUAUGAUAAUCUGGAAUUCAAUUCAGAUUACCAUAGUAAACAUGAAAAUAAUACAAUUCAAGGACAUAUUCCUACAAUAGUAACUAUAUCUUGUCAGCAAAAAAAUCAAAGGAACGAAUCAGAUAAAGAUAAAAAAGAAAACCUCAGACCUGAGAACACUGAAGAAGUUUUCACCAUAAAGAUGAACAGUGAGGACCCAAAUAAUCAAUGACAAUCCGGAAUUAAAUUUAAGUGAUAUUGGAAGCUAUGAAAGGAAAAAAGCGCAAAACAAAAAUGUCCCCUCAAAAGAAAUAACAUCUUGUCAGCAUCAAAUGCAAAGGGAGACGUUAAGAGAACAUGAAGAGGAAGUUAACUGCGAAGUUUUUUCGAUAAAGACAGAAAGUGAGAAGCUAAAUAACAGUAUUAAUAACAAUUCAGAAUUGAAUUUGGAUUAUUAAAGUUAAUUUGAAAGGACCAAUGAGCAAGAAAAAAAUACCCCGACAAAAGAAAUGUCAUCAAGACAGCAGAAACUGCAAAGGAAGAACUUAAGAGAGAAAGGGAAGAGAUGUCAACCAAAGAAAGAUAAACGUAAACCUCAGAGCAGAGGAGAACUUUUAGCCAAAGAGAGGGAACGUGAAAGACUAAGGUACCAUUACAUUAAAAACAAUUCGGAAUUAUAUUCAGAAUAUCAAAGAAAACAAAAUACAAAUUAUGAAAACGGGAAAGCACAAAAUAAAACUCUCUUCAUAACUGACAUGAAACCUCGUCAGGAAAAAAAGCAAAGGGAGAAGUGGAGAACAGAAUCAAAAAGAAGAUAUCAACAAAGGAAAGAAAGAAAAGAAAGAGAGAAACAAUCUGUGGCUGAGAAUAAAGAAGCUUAUUUAACCCGAAAUAAAGAACAGCAAAAAAGCAAAGAGAAAAGUGGAGAGUAGAAUCAAAAAGCAGAUGUCGACAAAUAAAAGAAAGAAAAGAAAGGAAGACACAAUCUGUGGCUGAGAAUAAAGAAGCUUAUUUAACCAAAGCGAGAGAACAGCAAAAAAAGCAAAAUGAGAAGUGGAGAGCCGAAUCAAAAAGAAGAUAUCAACAAAUGAAAGAAAGAAAAAGUAGGGGAGAAACAAUAUGUGGCUGAGAAUAAAGAAGCGUAUUUAACCAGAAAGAGAGAACAGGCGAAAUUAUGGUACCAAAAUAUUAAAAACAACCCAUAAUUAUAUGCGGAAUAUCAAAGGAAGAAUAGACUAAAAUACGAAAAAAAGAAAGCGCAAAAAAAAUUGUCCCCAUAAGAGAGAUGACAUCGACCCAGCAAAGAAAGCAGAGAAAGAAAUGCAGAGAAGAAUCAAGGAGAAGAUAUCAACGAAUGAAAGACAAAAAGAAAGAAAGAGACAAACAAUCAGGGGCCGAAAAUAGUUCACCAGAAGUUGACUGUUACCCUGUCCAGUUAUUAGUUAUUAGAAAAACAAAACCUGUUAGUGUAGAUUUGUGAGAAUUAGCCUGAUUGCCCAAUGCCAAGUAAUAAGUGCAUAUUAUGAAACUGACAGCCUUUUAUCGUUGCGUUUUGUACUGUUGGUCCAAAAAAACUUUCCAUUAGUAUUAUAAUUAGGAAACUAUAAAAAAACAUGAAAAAUGGUUGUUUACCAGAUAUUGAUUUCAUUCAACUGCUUACAAUUAAGCGUUGGUGCUACAGCAUAGAUGGACAUUGUAAAACAUGUAAAAUAAUAAAAAAUGGUAACCAAUUUUAUUCAUAUUGUGUCUUUUGGUGAAAAAGCCACAAACGCGGAAUUGUUGUUUAUUUAAUAUUGCCAAUUUUAUUUGAUAAUGCAUAUAGCACCUAAUAAUUUCAUAAAAUAAAAAGGAAUUGCUUUUACUUUCAAUAUACACCGCUGGGUUCUUCUGCAGAUGCACAGGCCACAGCUCCAUGAGGUCAAUAAAGUUAACCACGCCUUGGCUAGGAGUGUCCACGUACAGGUCUCCCAGCACCUGUAAAAAAAGAAAAGUUGAUUUUUUUAAACCACAAAAUUGUGAUGAAUGAACAUACUGCUUACCUAAUGGUAUGGUAAACAGAUGGCCCAUGAGUGCUUGGAACUUCAAUACUAUUUUGAUUUCUCUCUUAUGUGUAUUUUAGUAAUUUAAAAAGUGAUAUUAAUUUAGGAAUACUUAAUAAAAUUUCUCUCUCUAACCUUAGUAUUUAUUAAUUUCACAUUCAGGUGUACUUUCUAACAAAACAAAUAAAUAAACAAAUAAACUUUUUAUAAUUUUA